rnacentral:rRNA from 1 species
UACGUAGGGUGCAAGCGUUGUCCGGAAUUAUUGGGCGUAAAGAGCUCGUAGGCGGUUUGUCGCGUCUGCUGUGAAAACCCGAGGCUCAACCUCGGGCCUGCAGUGGGUACGGGCAGACUAGAGUGCGGUAGGGGAGAUUGGAAUUCCUGGUGUAGCGGUGGAAUGCAGCAGAUAUCAGGAGGAACACCAAUGGCGAAGGCAGAUCUCUGGGCCGUAACUGACGCUGAGGAGCGAAAGCAUGGGGAGCGAACAGG